AACGAACGCUGGCGGCAUGCCUAACACAUGCAAGUCGAACGAGACCUUCGGGUCUAGUGGCGCACGGGUGCGUAACGCGUGGGAACCUGCCCUUAGGUUCGGAAUAACUCCCCGAAAGGGGUGCUAAUACCGGAUAAUGUCUUCGGACCAAAGAUUUAUCGCCUUUGGAUGGGCCCGCGUUGGAUUAGCUAGUUGGUAGGGUAAAAGCCUACCAAGGCGACGAUCCAUAGCUGGUCUGAGAGGAUGAUCAGCCACACUGGGACUGAGACACGGCCCAGACUCCUACGGGAGGCAGCAGUGGGGAAUAUUGGACAAUGGGCGAAAGCCUGAUCCAGCAAUGCUGCGUGAGUGAUGAAGGACUUAGGGUUGUAAAGCUCUUUUACCCGGGACGAUAAUGACAGUACCGGGAGAAUAAGCUCCGGCUAACUCCGUG
rnacentral:rRNA from 1 species